AGAGUUUGAUCAUGGCUCAGAUUGAACGCUGGCGGCAUGCCUUACACAUGCAAGUCGAACGGCAGCACGGGGGCAACCCUGGUGGCGAGUGGCGAACGGGUGAGUAAUAUAUCGGAACGUACCUAAGAGUGGGGGAUAACUAGUCGAAAGAUUAGCUAAUACCGCAUACGAUCUACGGAUGAAAGUGGGGGCUCGCAAGACCUCAUGCUCCUAGAGCGGCCGAUAUCUGAUUAGCUAGUUGGUGAGGUAAAGGCUCACCAAGGCAUCGAUCAGUAGCUGGUCUGAGAGGACGACCAGCCACACUGGGACUGAGACACGGCCCAGACUCCUACGGGAGGCAGCAGUGGGGAAUUUUGGACAAUGGGGGCAACCCUGAUCCAGCAAUGCCGCGUGAGUGAAGAAGGCCUUCGGGUUGUAAAGCUCUUUUGUCAGGGAAGAAACGGUGAGUGCUAAUACCACUUGCUAAUGACGGUACCUGAAGAAUAAGCACCGGCUAACUACGUGCCAGCAGCCGCGGUAAUACGUAGGGUGCGAGCGUUAAUCGGAAUUACUGGGCGUAAAGCGUGCGCAGGCGGUUGUGUAAGACAGGUGUGAAAUCCCCGGGCUUAACCUGGGAAUGGCAUUUGUGACUGCACGGCUAGAGUGUGUCAGAGGGGGGUAGAAUUCCACGUAGCAGUGAAAUGCGUAGAGAUGUGGAGGAAUACCGAUGGCGAAGGCAGCCCCCUGGGAUAACACUGACGCUCAUGCACGAAAGCGUGGGGAGCAAACAGGAUUAGAUACCCCAGUAGUCC
rnacentral:rRNA from 1 species